AGGUGCCACGCGGGCUGCCUUUGGAACGGGAAGAGCAUUUGAGAUAAAGAGAAACGUGUCGACUGCAGGAUCGUAUCGGGCAGCAGAUGUGACUUGAGCUGCUUCUGCCAAGCAUGGCUCAGGCUCUCGGACCUCUGAAAGCUAGAUGCAGGAGGGCAACCUGUGUGCCAAAUGGUGAUUGCUAGGCAAGGAGAAUGCAAGCAUCAGAUGCACGCAAGCAAGCCAGCCCUCGGUGCACGCAACCCAGCAUUUGUGUGCAGGCUAGGCCUUGGUGCGUGCACUUGAAACAAGGACUUGGUGCAAGCAAGCCGACCCUUGGUGCAUACUCUUAAAGCAAGGACUUGAUGCAAGGGCUUAGUGCGGCCACGUAAUCACUCGAUGCCAGCUCUUGCCAGCCAGAAGUUAAUGCAGGCAUGAAAGCAAGGCAGCCAGACGGUCUUUAGUGGGUGUACUUGAUGUCAGCUAGCCCUUGGUGCGUGCAUACAAGCAAGCAGUUGCUGCCAAGACUGGAUGCCAGCCAGCGAGGACUUGGUGCGAGGACUCGGUGCACGCCUGUCAAGCGAGGACUUGGUGCGUGUACUUGAUGCCUGCCUGCCAGCUAGUCCUUGGCUCAUGCCCCUGAAGCAGUGAGGACUUGGCUCCUGGCCUGUGGUGUAUGAAUUGUGUAUGCAAACCAGUCGUCAGUGUUCACAUGCAAGCAAGGACGUGAUGGAAGAAGUUGGUGCAAGCAAGGACGUGAUGGAAGAAGUUGGUGCAAGCAAGGACGUGAUGGAAGAAGUUGGUGCAAGCAAGGACGUGAUGCAAGCCUGGCCUUAGUGCAUGCAUGCAAGAAUGUCCUUGAUGCCUGUCAGCAUGGAUGGAAGCAAUUAUUUCACUUGUGCAGGCAAGGCCUUGAUGUGUUUAUGCAAGCAAGCUAGCGAUGGAAGAACUUGAUGCAAGCCCUAGGUGCAAGCAAGGACUCGAAGCAAGGCCUUGAUGCGUGCAUGCAAGCCAGCCCCAGGUGGAAGCAAAGACUUGAAGCAAGAAGGCCCUUGGUGACUAAAAGGAAGCGCUUCACCUCUGUGCAAGCAUUUGUGUCUGAAUGCGUCUAGGGGGGAAUGUGAGCGUGUGUGUAGGCGGAUCAGUGUCUGAGGCUGUAGAGGUGGGAGUCGUUUAUUAUUGUGCUCUUUGAGGUUGUAUGUGAAGUAGAAUGUCUUGCCAUGCAGGCAGUGAGCACAAAGAAAUAGAACAUGGAAUUAACAAUUUUUUUUUCCCUGGGUCCCGGCCAGUCUGCGAGGCGAUGAUCAUGGCCAAGGUUUGGGCGCAGGCCGAGCUGGGACUGGGUUUUUUUGAGGCAAGGCCAAGUUUUGAGGCGCCUGGGAACACAGUUCCUAGGGAGGCGUGCAGCCUCGGGGUGAUGGCUUGUUGUGGCUGGCAGGGGGUGGCACGCAUGGGCUGGGAGGGAGGAGCGGUUUAUGUGGUAGGGAUUGCCUGUGUGGUUGGGGGGUGGUGGGGUUGCUUCUGAGGUUGUCUGUGUAGUGUUUUGCUUUGCAGGUACUGAGUUGGUUUUUUUGUUUUUGUUUUUUAAAAAAAAAUAGAAUAAAAAAACCCCAGCUGGGGGAUUUUUUUUUUUUUCCCCCAGCUGGGUUUUUUUUCCCUGGUCCCGGCCGGUCUGCGAGGCGAUGAUCAUCGCCAAGGUUUGGGCGCAGGCCGAGCUGGGACUGGGUUUUCUUGAGGCAGGGCCAAAUUUUGAGGCGCCUGGGAACACAGUUCCUAGGGAGCCGUGCAGCCUAGGGGUGA